GUCUUUUCAUCCGCUUCACCUCUACGUGGGUGAGUCUGAAUGGUUUGGACAUUCUGCUUCUAUAUAAGACCUUCUCCCCUUCUCCCGCUUCUUGUUCUUCUUUAAAUAAAGGUUUUUUCGUUAUUUCUGUUGACCCAUUUGAAUUAACAUUUUAGCCUCAUCUUCUUCACAGUACUACCUACUAAUCAGUGACAGUAUUGUCUUUUCUCUCGCUUCACCUUGUCGUAGAUGAGUCUGAAUGGUUUGGACCUUCUUCUAUAUAAGACCUUCUCCCGCUUCUUGUUCUUCUUUAUAUACCUUUUCUGUAAUCAAAUAUCAGCCUUCAUUUAUGUUACCUUUUUCGUGUUAUCUGCAUCUUUGGACGUGUGAAAGGAUUGAAGAUUUGGAGAACGUUGAGUUAUCAAACGAAAAAGAAAUUUGACAUGAUCAAAAAUAUUGAUGGAACAAGAGAAACGUUGAAUCUUGUUGUGACAAUCAUAGAUUUAUGGUUUGUUGAAUCAUGGGAUUCCCAACGACAUUUGGAGAUGAUUCUUACAUAUCAAAAGGAUAGGACAUCAGUAUAAAAAAUUGACGACAAGGAAUACAGAGGUGGAACGCCCUUUGCUAAACAGACUGCUCCAGAAUCAGAUACCUGACUAACGCUGCCUGUAACUUACUCGAAGUCCUUUCUGCGUUCAAUUUUCCUUGAAGAUCAUUCUUUAUUAUUUAUAUUAUUUAAAUCUUCAUUACAUAUAUACAUAACGUGAUAAACAUUAUGAUGAUCAGGGUGAUACCUGUAAUGAUUAAGAAGGAAGAUAUGGGUUUGUGGGAGGAAAAGAGGGUCAAAGUUAUAUAAUACAUAAUUUUAAAAUCUUAAGAAACAGAGCUCAAUUUAAUGUAUGCGACCAUUCUUUUAAGCUAUUGUUCAUAUAAGCAACAUCUAUACAAGAACCCAUUGCAAGUGUACCUGCCAAGAUGUGGAAGUCCGAAAGUAUAAAGGAUAUCAUUGAUGGAAAGUACUUUGUUGAUUUCUUGAUUGAUGUAUUGGUGUGGUGAACAGUGUCAACAAGAAACCACAGACCAAAAAUAUUGUAUUUGACUUGAAGGAUUUGAGGUUGGUUAUAUUAUGCUGUUGGUGAUGCUUUUAACGUAUGAGGAGCAGGCUCAAUUAAGGGGUAUUCCGUUACUCGAAUCAAGGCCUAAAUAUGAGAUGCGGAAUAUGACAGCAAAGGAAGUCUGUGGGAGUAGAAGGGUGGUCUCUUUCCCCGUGUUGUUAAGGUUUCAGAUGUGGUCUCCAUUCUGCGGAGCAAUAAACACAAUGGUUUUCCAGUGAUUGAUCACACAAGAAGUGGAGAACCACUUGUUAUUGGGUUAGUGCUUCGUAGUCAUUUAUUGGUAAUUCUUCAGUCAAAGGUUGAUUUCCAGCAUAGCCCUUUACCCUCGGAUUCUCGAGGUGGGGCCAGAUCAAUUAGGCAUGAUUCUGGUGAAUUUGCAAAGCCUGUUUCUAGUAAAGGAAUAUGUAUUGAGGAUAUACAUCUAAGUUCAGAUGACUUAGAAAUGUACAUUGUACCAGAAGAUAUGUCUUUGACAAAGGUGUGUCAUCCAAAGUGAAUUAAAUAAUCUUUUUUCAUUUCCAUUAUCCAUUUCGGUUGUAAGAUGACCAUGAUGUCUGACUGAUGAAAACAUGUAUACAAUAUUUUCCGUCAACUUGGUCUAAGGCAUUUAUUUGUUGUUCCUCGACCAUCUCGUGUGCUUGGUUUGAUAACGAGAAAAGAUUUGUUGAUUGAGGACAAUAAAAAUGUGAAUACGUUAGAGCUUCAGUCAACUAGUGUAAGGUCUCUGAAGCUUUACACCUCCUAUUCAGUUUAUUCAAAUUCUAAUUUUGAAUAUUUUAUGUCUGUCAUAUUUGUUUAUAUUCUAAAUUCUAAAAACUGUUAGUUUUUCUUUAUAGUGUGGAUUUCCACGGUUCCUAUGAAACUGAGUUCUAUUUUGGUGGACCUUUCCAAAUUUUAUUCUGAUAUUUAGUGUCAGCAAAAUUGCUAUUUAUAUUGUCAAGGUUUGCAGGCAUGUCUACUAUGCUGUUUAAUGUUUUGAGUGAUCCCCUAGCACAAAACAGGAGUGUUAUCUUUUACUCAAAUUAUCUUUUCGAAAUAUAUCGUUGACCAUGUGUGCACAAUUUGCAGAAACUGAACACGGUUAUGGACACAGGUUUGUGAGAUUAUCUCUUCAGAAGAAACAUGAUUUUUUUUUAUUAUUAAUAACAUCUAAUCAAGCUAUACUUUUUUAGAUUCAUUAAGAGGAUGAAUGGGGACUGAAACCUCUAUCUAUCUUUAUAUUUCGUUGUAUUUUUUCGGGAAUAAAUCUGUGCAAUUGUGUUGUCUUGGGAAAGAUUAAUUAUGAAUCUACCAGGAUUCAUAUGGUUGUCUCUCUCCACAGGAAGGAUUUGAGGUUGGUUAUAUUAUGUACGUUGUUUAUAUUUUACAUUGCACCUUUAAUAAAUUAUGUUUAUUAUGUAAUUAAUCUUUUGUUGUCGUUUCCUUCAUUAAGUACUGCUGUAAUCUGUUACACUUUGAGGAAUUUGUAUUGUGUAAAAUUCAUGAUUUCUUGGAAAACAAAUCGUGUAACACUUAAUCCCGCAUAAGGUGUAACUUAUUCGUUGUUUUUUUUUUGUUCUUUUAGCUAAUGUAAUUAAUUUUGAAUAGGACUAUGGCCAGUUUUACCACUGUCUAACGCAUGGAAUGGUUCCAAAUUGAUAAUGGGUGAUGAUGUACCUGAGCUACAAGAUUUUAAGAAGCACUUUAUAUUAUUGAAAAAAUAUUUUCCUGUUAUGAAGACUAAUAAUAGUGCAUCUGAUUUAGCGAC